UUUAAUUCAAAAUUUUUAUAAGCUUGAAAAUAAAUUAGAAUAUUAAAAACUUCAUUAGACAAAAAAAAAAGGUUUGAAACUUAUUUUUUGUUUUUAAAAAUUUAAAUGCUCUUUUAACUUGAUCUUUAUGUUUCUAACAAUCGAAUUUUCAAAUUUUACAAAAAUUUACUUGGAAACUUGUGUCGUUUUUAAAUUUACAAAUUAUCAUAGCUUUGCGUUAUAAUAAGAUGGUCAUGUGUGCGUCAGACAUACUUGGCAUUCCUAUCUUGUGAUAAAAUAUUGACGUGCAUGAACACCAGAAUAGAAGCAUCUUUAUUUUUAUCUCUUGGAAUCAGAUGCCGCCAAGUGAUAACUUUAGCAUCUUGUGUUUAUAUUUUUAACGGUCUAUCUUUUGUUCUUGUAGCCACCACUUUAGUAUUCUUUUCUGACUUUGUGUUCGACCAGAUUUGUAAUAAACUGUUACAGGAACCACUAAUGAAAAAAAAAAAAAAAUGGGUUGUUCAGUUGGAGUAGCUUCCCACAUAAUUUCCUUCGAGUUAUGAUGAUAUAACGAAUCAUAAUCGUGAUUGUAUAGCUAUACAGGCUGACUUUUUUCGAUCAUCCCAAAAUUCAUAAGAUUCUAUGAAAUAAAUCAUGAUAAAGAACUACUUGAUUUGACAUUAGUCCCUUUUUUUGUGGUGAUUUGGGUUUCCAAUAACAUGAGAUGACACGGAUGACAAAGAUUCUAGUGACCUCAAGAAAAGAAUGAAAAUGAAGUAACCUUGUUCCUACAUAUUUAUUUUUCGAAGAAUGGAAUGUAUGUAUGUAUGUGUAUAGCUGUGGUAGAAUAAUCUAUAUCAACCCUUGUGCUUGAAAGGGAAUUUCUUAUCAAUCUGACAAUGGAGAGUUUGCGUGUGAAGUGGGUCUUGCUUUUUUUAUCCAACUCCAAAAGAGAGGACCAAUUGUACUACUUGAGGAGAAAGAGAAUCAUUCUUUAUUUCUGUUUCACUCUUACAUCCUGUUUAAUUAUUCUCUUGUAUUAUUGUCUCUUUUACCCCCAUUCCUCUCGAACUGGAUCUUCUUGAAGCUUCUAUAUUGGUCACUAACUAGUCAUUCUUGAUUUUGAUGUGUGCUGAAAUUUCAUUUAUAGACCAUAGUAUAUAUGGUAAUUAUUGUUUGUUUUUUCUUUUUUUUAGAAGUUAUUAUGUUUUGUGCUGGAAAGACGUCAUGAUUACUAUGCCUGAAAAUGAACUAGCUCCAUAUUUAAAGGGUCCGGCCCGUACGCAAGGAAGGUCAUAUUAGAAGAUGAGAGCAAAUAAGAAGAUGAAUAGCAGACUUUCAAAAAGUGGUCAUUGUGCCAAAGGGGGGAAUGUAUAGCUUGCCAGCUGUUAGGUGCAGGUACAAAAAAUACAUUCAGAACACGGAGAAUAUUUUCUGCUAUUGUGCGCAAAUGGAAAUAAAAUAUAAUGAA